AGUUAGCGGCGGACGGGUGAGUAACACGUGGGUAACCUGCCCAUAAGACUGGGAUAACUCCGGGAAACCGGGGCUAAUACCGGAUAACAUUUUGAACUGCAUGGUUCGAAAUUGAAAGGCGGCUUCGGCUGUCACUUAUGGAUGGACCCGCGUCGCAUUAGCUAGUUGGUGAGGUAACGGCUCACCAAGGCAACGAUGCGUAGCCGACCUGAGAGGGUGAUCGGCCACACUGGGACUGAGACACGGCCCAGACUCCUACGGGAGGCAGCAGUAGGGAAUCUUCCGCAAUGGACGAAAGUCUGACGGAGCAACGCCGCGUGAGUGAUGAAGGCUUUCGGGUCGUAAAACUCUGUUGUUAGGGAAGAACAAGUGCUAGUUGAAUAAGCUGGCACCUUGACGGUACCUAACCAGAAAGCCACGGCUAACUACGUGCCAGCAGCCGCGGUAAUACGUAGGUGGCAAGCGUUAUCCGGAAUUAUUGGGCGUAAAGCGCGCGCAGGUGGUUUCUUAAGUCUGAUGUGAAAGCCCACGGCUCAACCGUGGAGGGUCAUUGGAAACUGGGAGACUUGAGUGCAGAAGAGGAAAGUGGAAUUCCAUGUGUAGCGGUGAAAUGCGUAGAGAUAUGGAGGAACACCAGUGGC
rnacentral:rRNA from 1 species